rnacentral:lncRNA from 1 species
AAAUCAAUUGCUUUUAAAAAGCAAUUGUAAACGGUCUUUCCCCCUUUGAACCAUGAUUGUUUGUUAUGUGUGUGUGUGUUUGUUUGUUUGUUUGUUAGUUUCUGUAAGGGGUCUAUAUUAUUCCGGGGAAGUUUCAUGUUUAGUUCGGAAAGUUUUUAUAUUAUUUCAGGUCCAGCGCGCGCGCCAGAUUGAGGAGACAUAACGUGACGCGGGUUUAUAUUAACGAAAACUUGGUCUUUUUAUUUCUCUUUAGGUGGGGAUGUUGAACAUCCAACAUGUAUAGAGACGGAAUGUACACAAUGUAUUUCUUUUGUCAUUGUAGGAAAUUGACAUUUUUUAUCACAGUUCACCAGCAGUGCAUGAUUUGGAUUUAAUUGAUCCGGUGUAACUUUAAAACACAUUUAAGGAUUAUUUUCUGAUAAUGUACAUUUUUCAGCACCAGUUUGUAACACAGAUUAGUAUUUCAAUCUAGGAGCGGACAUUUUAUUGUAGGAUUUCACUGAGAUUUACGGACCUAGCAAGCGAUUUUUACGGCAUUGCAAUUUCUUUUCUCUAGGAAAAGUCUUGAGAG